rnacentral:rRNA from 1 species
CCCUUAGAUGUUCUGGGCCGCACGCGCGCUACACUGAUGCAUUCAACGAGUCUAAAACCUGCUCUGAUAGGGGUGGGUAAUCUUUUGAAUGUGCAUCGUGAUUGGGAUAGAUGAUUGCAAUUUUUCAUCUUCAACGAGGAAUGCCUAGUAAACGCAAGUCAUCAGCCUGCAUUGAUUACGUCCCUGCCCUUUGUACACACCGCCCGUCGCUCCUACCGAUUGAAUGAUCCGAUGAAUAUCAUGGAUUGAGGAUGCAAGCAGGUUCGCCUGUCUUCAUCUUCGAGAAGUGAAGUAAAUCUUAUCAUUUAGAGGAAGGAGAAGUCGUAACA